GAUGAACGCUAGCGGCAGGCUUAACACAUGCAAGUCGAGGGGCAGCACGGGUAGCAAUACCUGGUGGCGACCGGCGGAAGGGUGCGUAACGCGUGAGCAACAUGCCCUAUACGGGGGAAUAAACCAGGGAAACUUGGUCUAAUGCCCCAUAGCAAUAAGAUAAGGCAUCUUAUUUUAUUUAAAGCUUCGGUGGUAUAGGAUUGGCUCGCGUGACAUUAGCUGGAUGGUGGGGUAACGGCCCACCAUGGCGAUGAUGUCUAGGGGUUCUGAGAGGAAGACCCCCCACACUGGGACUGAGACACGGCCCAGACUCCUACGGGAGGCAGCAGUGAGGAAUAUUGGACAAUGGAUGGAAAUCUGAUCCAGCCAUGCCGCGUGCAGGAAGACGGCCCUAUGGGUUGUAAACUGCUUUUCUACGGGAGCAAUAAGGUCUACGAGUAGACUGAUGAGAGUACCGUAGGAAUAAGCAUCGGCUAACUCCGUGCCAGCAGCCGCGGUAAUACGGAGGAUGCGAGCGUUAUCCGGAUUUAUUGGGUUUAAAGGGUGCGUAGGCGGCUUUUUAAGUCAGCGGUGAAAUUUUGCAGCUUAACUGUAACAGUGCCGUUGAUACUGGGGAGCUAGGAUUUGGUUGCUGUGGGUGGAAUGUGUGGUGUAGCGGUGAAAUGCUUAGAGAUCACACAGAAUAUCGAUUGCGAAGGCAGCUCACAAAGCCAAGAUUGACGCUGAGGCACGAAAGUGUGGGGAUCAAACAGGAUUAGAUACCCUGGUAGUCCACACUGUAAACGAUGAUAACUCGCUGUCGGCGAUACACAGUCGGUGGCCAAGCGAAAGCGAUAAGUUAUCCACCUGGGGAGUACGACCGCAAGGUUGAAACUCAAGGGAUUUGACGGGGGCCCGCAC
rnacentral:rRNA from 1 species